rnacentral:rRNA from 1 species
GAUGAACGCUGGCGGCGUGCCUAAGACAUGCAAGUCGAGCGAACGGACGAGAAGCUUGCUUCUCUGAUGUUAGCGGCGGACGGGUGAGUAACACGUGGAUAACCUACCUAUAAGACUGGGAUAACUUCGGGAAACCGGAGCUAAUACCGGAUAAUAUUUUGAACCGCAUGGUUCAAAAGUGAAAGACGGUCUUGCCGUCACUUAUAGAUGGAUCCGCGCUGCAUUAGCUAGUUGGUAAGGUAACGGCUUACCAAGGCAACGAUGCAUAGCCGACCUGAGAGGGUGAUCGGCCACACUGGAACUGAGACACGGUCCAGACUCCUACGGGAGGCAGCAGUAGGGAAUCUUCCGCAAUGGGCGAAAGCCUGACGGAGCAACGCCGCGUGAGUGAUGAAGGUCUUCGGAUCGUAAAACUCUGUUAUUAGGGAAGAACAUAUGUGUAAGUAACUGUGCACAUCUUGACGGUACCUAAUCAGAAAGCCACGGCUAACUACGUG